UACGUAGGUGGCGAGCGUUGUCCGGAUUUACUGGGCGUAAAGAGCGCGCAGGCGGUCGUACAAGUCGCGUGUGAAAGCCCCCGGCUCAACUGGGGAGGGUCACGCGAUACUGUUCGACUCGAAGGCAGGAGAGGGAAGUGGAAUUCCCGGUGUAGUGGUGAAAUGCGUAGAUAUCGGGAGGAACACCAGUGGCGAAGGCGACUUCCUGGCCUGUUCUUGACGCUGAGGCGCGAAAGCUGGGGGAGCAAACAGG
rnacentral:rRNA from 1 species